CUAUGGAUUUUGUUUCAGGACUACCCAGAACCUCGAGGAAGCAUGAUGCUAUUUGGGUUAUCAUUGAUAGGUUAACAAAAUCUGCACAUUUCCUACCGAUUAAUAUGACUUAUUCGCUUGAUAGACUUGCAGAUUUAUAUGUCAGUGAAAUAGUAAGACUUCAUGGUGUUCCAAAGGAGAUCAUCUCUGAUAGAGACUCUAGAUUUCUCUCUAGAUUCUGGAGAAGAUUGCAGGAGUCGAUGGGCACUAAAGUUAAGUUUAGUACUGCAUAUCAUCCUCAGACUGAUGGUCAGUCAGAAAGAACAAUUCAAACACUUGAGGAUUUGCUUAGAGCCUAUGUUAUGGAUUGGAAAGAUGAAUGGGAUAAGGAUAUUUCACUUGUUGAGUUCACGUAUAACAAUAGUUAUCAUUCAAGUAUUCAGAUGGCUCCUUAUGAAGCUUUAUAUGGGCGAAAGUGCAUAACACCUAUAUGUUGGGAGGAAGUUGGGGACAGAAAGUUGUUAGCACCGGACCUGGUACAAGAAACUACCGAGAAAAUUCAAGUUAUAAGGAAAAGGUUAAAAGCUGCUCAAGGUCGUCAAAAGAGUUAUGCCGAUAAUAGGAGACGAGAUAUUGAGUUUGAAAUCGGAGAUUUUGUAUUCUUAAAAGUCUCCCCUUCCAAAGGCAUUAUAAGGUUUGGGAAGAAAGGAAAGUUAAGCCCAAGAUUUAUUGGACCUUUUGAGGUUCUUGAGAGGGUUGGUUCUGUCGCUUACAAGAUUGCCUUACCACCAGCAUUGAGCCAUGUCCAUGAUAUAUUUCAUGUCUCGAUGAUUAGAAAGUAUAUGUAUGACCCUUCUCACAUCAUUAAGUAUGAGCUGGUGGAGUUCGAUAAAGAUUUAUCCUAUGUGGAAGAGCCUAUUCAGAUUAUUGAUAAGGAAGAAAAAGUCCUAAGGAAUCGGGUCAUCCCACUGGUUCAAGUAAAUUGGAGACAUCAUUCUGGAGAAGAGACAACUUGGGAGCUAGAAGAGGAAAUGAAAAAGGUGUAUCCUCGUCUUUUCAUCGAAUAGAGGUACGAUAAAUUUAGAGGACUAAAUUUUUCUUUUAAGGGGGGGGAGAGUGUAACACCCCUCAUUUCCGAAUGUUCGUAUAAAUUUUUGGUGAUAAUGUAAGCAUCUAUUUUAAUUGACAAAAGAAAUAGAGUAUGAAUCAGAGGUAACUUAUUUUUAAGAUUUGGGAGAUCUGUUCAAAAAAAAAAAAAAAAAAGAAAAAGAAAGAAUCUGAGGACCUAUAUGUAAACCCUAAGGACCUAAUCGUGAAUAUGAUAAAAAUGAGGACUAAACUGCAAAAUGCACCAAAUGACAAAUUCCACCGCUUAAGCCUCUCUGCCUUCGUUGUUAAGGAAGCAGAGGAGGCAGCUCGUGGGUGAUCAGGGAAAGAAAAGAAGAAGAAGAAGAAGAAGAAGAAGAAGAAGGAGAAGAGAAAGAAAAUUUGGGGCUUUUAGGGUUUUUGCUUUAAUCUUGUUACUUCGGGUCAAAAUUUGCAAAGGAUAGCGUAACUCUUGCUUAAAUGUUAAGAAUGGGCUGAGGCAGCGGAAAGUUUAGAAGACGUUGGGCAGAACUUUUGUUAGCAUAUAUGUAGUUGUGUAUAAGCUACCUUGUAUCUAAUGAAAUGUGACUAUGAAUCUAAACCUGUGGAUUUUGUGUAAGUUAAAGGAUCCCUCAUGUAUAGGGUUUUGGUAUGUUAAAUUAAAUUUGUGUAAGGAUAUGAACUUAUGGUAAAUCGAUGAUUGUGGUGACUGCAUAGAUUUUUCCCA